GUGCUCACUCCAGCAGUGCAUAUACUAAAACAGAAACAAUACAGAGAAAGAUUAGCAUGCUCUCUGCCACAAGGAUUACAAAGAAAUUCUUGAAGCAUUCCACAAUUUU
rnacentral:snRNA from 1 species